rnacentral:misc_RNA from 1 species
GAUGAAGAACGUAGCGAAAUGCGAUAAGUAAUGUGAAUUGCAGAAUUCAGUGAAUCAUCGAAUCUUUGAACGCACAUUGCGCCCGCUGGUAUUCCGGCGGGCAUGCCUGUUCGAGCGUCAUUUCAACCCUCAAGCUCUCCGGAGUUUGGUGUUGGGGCGCCUGGGGCUUUUCGACCUCAGGGCCCUCAAGUCCAUCGGCGGGACCGCAAGGACACUGAGCGCAGUAGUAUUAUUUCGCUCGGUAGGAUCUUCCACGGCGGGUCGAUCUGGCCGCUAAACCCCCCAAUUCUCACCAAAGGUUGUCCUCGGAUCAGGUAGGAAUACCCGCUGAACUUAAGCAUAUCAAUAAGCGGAGGA